UACGAAGGGGCUAGCGUUGCUCGGAAUCACUGGGCGUAAAGGUGCGUAGGCGGUCUUUAAGUCAGGGUGAAAUCCUGGAGCUCAACUCCAGAACUGCCUUUGAUACUGAGGAUCUUGAGUUCGGAGAGGUGAGUGGAACUGCGAGUGUAGAGGUGAAAUUCGUAGAUAUUCGCAAGAACACCAGUGGCGAAGGCGGCUCACUGGCCCGAUACUGACGCUGAGGCACGAAAGCGUGGGGAGCAAACAGG
rnacentral:rRNA from 1 species